GGAAGCGUGCCUGAACCACAAAGGGCUACUUUGAUAAAGUACUAAUGGAACCACUAACAUUCCCACUUCCC
rnacentral:tRNA from 1 species